GAUUGUCGACAGGGGAGCUUGUGUCACAGGCUGAGAGGAAGUUGUAAACUUCGACCCGUAACCUGAUUUGGGUAAUGCCAACGUAGGUAUGCGCUGAAUGCGAGAU
rnacentral:ncRNA from 2 species